AGGACGCGGGGCAGCCUUGCGCGAAGGGGCGUUUUCGUGGAGCCACCUGCCGCGCCACGCUCCAGUCCCGUCACUUGUGCUCGCGAGCGCCGGUGCGCGCAGGGGGACCAGCGCUCCCUGGGUGGACCGACCCCACCGCUUACCCAUUGCUGGACGCCUGCGUGCACCGACCCCACCGCUUACCCAUUGCUGGACGCUUGCCCUGUUGCCAUCUCCUCGCUAGCGUGAACAGUGCUGCGUGCAGAUCUCUCUUUCAUUGAUUGUUUUGCGUCUGUACCCAGAAGUGGGAUUGCUGGACCAUCUCUGCCCAUUUUAAAAUUGGGAAAUGACAUGAUCUGAUUUAAGCUAUUUAAAAAUCACUUGGGCCUGGGCUCGGUGGCUCACGCGUGUAAUCACAACACUUUGGGAAGCCGAGACAGGCGGAUCACCUGAGGUCAGAAGUUUGAGACCAGCCUGGCCAACAUGGUGAAACCCGGUCUCUACUAAAAAUACAAAAAUUAGCCGGGCACGGUGGCUCCAGCCUGUAAUACCAGCUACUCAGGAGGCUGAGGCAGGAGAGUUGCUUGAACCCAGGAAGCGGAGGUUGCAGUGAGCUGAGAUUGCCUCACUGCACUCCAGCCUGGGCAACAGAGUGAAACAAUGUCUCAAAAAAAUAAAAAUAAAAAAACUGAAUGGUUCCACAGAAAUACUGAGACUUCUGCUUAAACAGGCUUUCUUGAACCUGUACGCUUCCAGUUGGGUCUGCUGCUUCCAGGUCAUUUACUAAAAAUGAUAGGAAGAUUUAAAAAAUAAAAAUAAAAGGAAGGCCGGGCGUGGUGGCUCACGCCUGUAAUCCCAGCACUUUGGGAGGCCUAGGUGAGCGGAUCACGAGGUCAGGAGCUCGAGACCAUCCUGGCUAACACGGUGAAAACCCGUCUCUACUAAUAAUACAAAAAAAAAAAAAAAAAAUAGGGCAUGGUGGCGGGUGCUUGUAGUCCCAGCUACUAGGGAGGCUGAGGCAGGAGAAUGCCGUGAACCCGGGAGGCGGAGCUUGCAGUGAGCCGAGAUCGCGCCACUGCACUCCAGACUGGGCGACAGAGCGAGACUCUGUCUCAAAAAAAUAAAGGAAAAUUGGGCCGGGCGCAGUGCCUCACGCCUGUAAUCCCAGCACUUUGGGAGGCUGAGGUGGGCGGAUCACGAGGUUAGGAGAUCAAGACCAGCCUGACCAACAUGGUGAAACCCCGUCUUUACUGAAAUACAAAAAAGCCUGGCGUGGUGGUGCGCGCCUGUAGUCCCUGCUACUCGAGAGCCUAAGGCCGGAUAAUCGCUUGAACCUGGGAGGCAGAGGUUGCAGUGAGCCAGGAUGGUGCCACUGCACUCCAGCCUGGGUGACAGAGACUCUGUCUCAAAAAAAAGAAAAUCAGCCAGGCUCAGUGGCUCAUGCCUGUAAUCCCAGCACUUUGGGAGGCCGAGGCGGGCAGAUCACCUGAGAUCAGGAGUUUGAGACCAGCCUGGCCAACAUGGUGAAACCCCAUCUCUACUAAAAAUACAAAAAUUAGCUGGUACAUACCUGUAAUCCCAGCUACCCAGGAGGCUGAGGCAGGAGAAUCGCUGGAAUCCAGGAGGCAGAAGCUGCAGUGAGCUGAGAUCACACUACUGCACUCCAGCCUGGGUGACAGAGCAAGACUCCAUCUCAAAAAAUAAAAUAAAAAACAAGGGAAAAUCCACAAGGACAUAGUUGAAUCCAUAAGAAGAAAUGACAGCAGAUAAAUCAGUUAACAAAAGUUCAAGAGCUGGAGAUCAGAUCUUUAUCGACCUGAGAAUAUGGAACACCAGUGCCUAUGUGGAAGGAAACCAGGAAGCAAGUUCAUUUAAUCCA
rnacentral:lncRNA from 1 species